UAAAAACCCCGACUUUGGAAGGGGUGUAUUUAUUAGAUACAAAACCAAUGCCCUUCGGGGCUCUUUGGUGAUUCAUGAUAACUAUACGAAUCGCACGGCCUUGCGCCGGCGAUGGUUCAUUCAAAUUUCUUCCCUAUCAACUUUCGAUGUUUGGGUAUUGGCCAAACAUGGUUGCAACGGGUAACGGAGGGUUAGGGCUCGACCCCGGAGAAGGAGCCUGAGAAACGGCUGCUACAUCCAAGGAAGGCAGCAGGCGCGCAAAUUACCCAAUCCCGACUCGGGGAGGUAGUGACAAUAAAUACUGAUACAGGGCCCUUUCGGGCCUUGUAAUUGGAAUGAGUACAAUUUAAAUCCCUUAACGAGGAACAAUUGGAGGGCAAGUCUGGUGCCAGCAGCCGCGGUAAUUCCAGCUCCAAUAGCGUAUAUUAAAGUUGUUGUGGUUAAAAAGCUCGUAGUUGAACCUAGGGCCUGGCUGGCCAGUCCGCCUUACCGAGUGCACUGGUCCGGCCGGGAAUUUCCCUCUGUGGCCACCCUAACUUUCACAGAAAUGUUUAGAAAAAAAAGUUAUAAAGAAAA
rnacentral:rRNA from 1 species